rnacentral:snRNA from 1 species
GCUAGAAGCGACGCAUGCGC